rnacentral:misc_RNA from 1 species
GGGAAAUUUAUUAUCACCAGUGCAUCUAUCGCAACAAAGGCUGAAGUAUAUGUGCAUGAGACUAUGCUGGGGCGAAGAGCUUCAACUGCUUUCUUUGCAUUAUCAAGUAGAUAGGAUGUGUGCAAAGAAACAUUAGGAGGACCAUCUUUUUCUGCCAAGUUAUUCCCUUGGAGUUCAGCAAAACCAAAAGCAUCACAACCCGUCAAGAAGGUAAAAGGGGAAUAAAAUCGUAAAAAGAAGAAACAACGGAAGGGGGGAGUGUGAGAAAGUUUAACCAUUAUGGGAUUUUUAUAAUUGAAUAAGGUUUGUUGUUGUGUACUUGAAUGUCACUAUCAUGGAAAUGCAUCCUUGGAGGUGCUGCAGGCACUGUUUUGUCCUUCUUUGUGGCCUCCUCAACAGCUUGUUUGACUUGCCUCAGGGCUUGUGAACUCAAUACGGUACAAAAUAAGACUGAUUCUUUAUGCCACCUACAUAAGAAUGGCAAAGGCUAUUUAUAUGUAGAAGGCCAAAGUUGUGUUAUUUCUUUGAAUUGGUUGAUUAUAAAUGGU